UACGUAGGGUGCAAGCGUUGUCCGGAAUUAUUGGGCGUAAAGAGCUCGUAGGCGGUUUGUCGCGUCUGCUGUUAAAACUCGGGGCUUAACUCCGGGCCUGCAGUGGGUACGGGCAGACUAGAGUGCGGUAGGGGAGACUGGAAUUCCUGGUGUAGCGGUGAAAUGCGCAGAUAUCAGGAGGAACACCGGUGGCGAAGGCGGGUCUCUGGGCCGUAACUGACGCUGAGGAGCGAAAGCGUGGGGAGCGAACAGG
rnacentral:rRNA from 1 species